rnacentral:rRNA from 1 species
UACGUAGGUCGCAAGCGUUGUCCGGAUUCAUUGGGCGUAAAGAGCUCGUAGGCGGUUCGGUAAGUCGGGUGUGAAACCUCCAGGCUCAACCUGGAGACGCCACCCGAUACUGCUGUGACUAGAGUCCAGUAGGGGAGCGUGGAAUUCCUGGUGUAGCGGUGAAAUGCGUAGAGAUCGGAAAGAACACCAAUGGCGAAAGCACUCUGCUGGGCCGACACUGACACUGAGAGACGAAAGCUAGGGGAGCAAAUGGG